rnacentral:rRNA from 1 species
GACAGAGGCCCCGAGCGUUUAGGCGGAAUCACUGGGCUUAAAGCGUGUGUAGGCGGAUCGUUAAGUGUCUUGUGAAAUCCCACGGCUCACCCGUGGAACCGCUGGGCAUACUGGCGAUCUUGGGCCAUUCAGGGGCAGCUGGAACAAGCGGUGGAGCGGUGAAAUGCGCAGAUAUCGGGAGGAACACCGGUGGCGAAGGCGGUUCUCUGGGCCUGUACUGACGCUGAGGAGCGAAAGCGUGGGGGAGCAAACAGG